AAAUGUGCUCUUUUAGUAUUUCUCUAGUAAGUUUCCUCAAUGAGAAAGGCUCCA
ensembl:snRNA U7 U7 small nuclear RNA